UACGAGGGGUGCAAGCGUUGCUCGGAAUUAUUGGGCGUAAAGAGCGUGUAGGCGGCCAUGCAGGUCCGCUGUGAAAACUCGAGGCUCAACCUCGAGAGGUCGGUGGAAACCGCAUGGCUAGAGUCCGGAAGAGGAGAGUGGAAUUCCCGGUGUAGCGGUGAAAUGCGCAGAUAUCGGGAAGAACACCCGUGGCGAAGGCGGCUCUCUGGGACGGUACUGACGCUGAGACGCGAAAGCGUGGGGAGCGAACAGG
rnacentral:rRNA from 1 species